CUGUGAGAUGCGCUAUGGCUCUGCUGUGAUCUUUGUUUGGAUUCAUCGGAUCUAUUUUCGCUGCUAAAAUAGACCAAAACAGUCAUUAUUUCGUCUAAAAUAUCAAAUGUUCCUUUCUUCUGUCAUGGAGCAAGUAUCAGCUGUUGAAACAAAAGCUCUCCUCAGUUGCCCAGCUUGUGCUGCAAACUCCUCCAACCUCCUAUUCCAUGUCUCACUACCUCCACUAGGUCGCCGGUACCCCUAAACCUCAGUUUUGUGAAACCACCAUCAACCAGCCAGUGCCCCAAUACUACAACUAGGCCCUCUGUACCACCUCCACCAUCAACCAGCCAGUACCCGAUUACUACCACUAGGCCCCCUGUACCACCUCCACCAUCAACCAGCCAGUACCCGAUUACUACCACUAGGCCCCCUGUACUACUUACCUCCACUGUCAAGGACCCACUGCCUGCCACUCUGCAACCUGGUGCAGUGUGUGGAAACCCUUCAGCUGUGUGGAAACCCUUCAGCAUCCAUUCAACCUUCAUCCCCCUCCUUCCAGUCAGACAGGCAUGAAUCUCAAGGUAUUAUAUCAAAUACUGUAAGGAAGAUAAAUGUCAAUACUGUGGUUAAAUUACAUUUUCUUUGUUUUGUAGUGUUAAUCUAUUUCUCUCCUUAUCCCCUCCAUUUUACAGAAAUAACACAUCAAAUGACACUAUUUCUACUGGACCUUACAAAAACUCACCAGCAACUUUAUUUUAGGAACAAAAUGGCGUUCUAUAAAAAAAUACAAAACUCAUUCUCACAAAAGGGCUACAACUUGUCAAGUGAAAAAAUUUGAAAAAAACUAGCAAAAAUGUUAACCACUUAUAAGAGAGUAAAAGACAGGCGCCGUGCAACUGGGGAGGGGAAGAUCACCUGGGAGUACUAUACACUAAUGGAUGAGUUAUUUGGGUCGUCGGGGAUCGGUACUGCACCACUUGGCACCAUUCACUCCACACCUCUAGGUUUGGAAGAGACCUCCACCCAAAGCAUGCCCACAACGUCUUCUCUUCAAGACCAGCCAGCAGG